rnacentral:rRNA from 1 species
AUUGAACGCUGGCGGCAGGCCUAACACAUGCAAGUCGAGCGAGCGGCGGACGGGUGAGUAAUGUCUGGGAAACUGCCCGAUGGAGGGGGAUAACUACUGGAAACGGUAGCUAAUACCGCAUACUAUCAGAUGUGCCCAGAUGGGAUUAGCUAGUAGGUGGGGUAACGGCUCACCUAGGCGACGAUCCCUAGCUGGUCUGAGAGGAUGACCAGCCACACUGGAACUGAGACACGGGCCAGACUCCUACGGGAGGCAGCAGUGGGGAAUAUUGCAAAAUGGGCGCAAGCCUGAUGCAGCCAUGCCGCGUGUGUGAAGAAGGCCGUAGGGUUGUAAAGGACUUUCAGCGGGGAGGCGUGACCGAAAGAAGAAGCACCGGCUAACUCCGUGCCAGCAGCCGCGGUAAUUC